GACGAACGCUGGCGGCGUGCCUAACACAUGCAAGUCGAGCGAUGAUGUUCUUUCGGGAACUGAUUAGCGGCGGACGGGUGAGUAACACGUGGGCAACCUGCCUUGUAGUGGGGAAUAGCCUUCCGAAAGGAAGAUUAAUACCGCAUAACAUUGCGACUCCGCAUGGAGAUGCAAUUAAAGGAGCAAUCCGCUACAAGAUGGGCCCGCGGCGCAUUAGCUAGUUGGUGAGGUAACGGCUCACCAAGGCGACGAUGCGUAGCCGACCUGAGAGGGUGAUCGGCCACAUUGGGACUGAGACACGGCCCAGACUCCUACGGGUGGCAG
rnacentral:rRNA from 1 species